rnacentral:rRNA from 1 species
GACGAACGCUGGCGGCGUGGAUUAGGCAUGCAAGUCGAACGGUAGGAUACCUUCGGGUAUCUGAGAGUGGCGAACGGGUGAGUAACACGUAGGUGAUCUACCCUCAAGAUUGGGACAACCCAGGGAAACUUGGGCUAAUACCGGAUGAAAGCAGCAGUGAUGUUGUUUGAAAGGUGGCGUAAGCUGCCGUUUGGGGAUGAGCCUGCGCUCUAUUAGUUAGUUGGCGGGGUAAAGGCCCACCAAGGCGAUGAUAGAUAGGCGGCCUUAACGGGUGGUCGCCCACACUGGGAUUGAGAUACGGCCCAGACUCCUACGGGAGGCAGCAGUCGAGAAUAGUCUACAAUGGCCGAAAGGCUGAUAGUGCGACGCCGCGUGAACGAAGAAGCCCUUCGGGGUGUAAAGUUCUUUUAUAUGUGAGCAGUGCUUUCUAUGUGAACAGCAUGGGGAGAGAGAUAUUAGCAUAUGAAUAGGCAACGGCUAACUCCGUGCC